rnacentral:rRNA from 1 species
AGUGGUUGUUUUUUUUAGCAUGGGAAUAAUGGAAUAGGACGUGUGGUUCUAUUUUGUUGGUUUCUAGGACCGCCGUAAUGAUUAAUAGGGACAGUCGGGGGCAUCAGUAUUCCGUUGUCAGAGGUGAAAUUCUUGGAUUUACGGAAGACUAACUACUGCGAAAGCAUUUGCCAAGGAUGUUUUCAUUAAUCAGGAACGAAAGUUAGGGGAUCGAAGACGAUCAGAUACCGUCGUAGUCUUAACCAUAAACUAUGCCGACUAGGGAUCGGACGAUGUUAUUUUUUGACUCGUUCGGCACCUUACGAGAAAUCAAAGUGCUUGGGCUCCAGGGGGAGUAUGGUCGCAAGGCUGAAACUUAAAGAAAUUGACGGAAGGGCACCACCAGGGGUGGAGCCUGCGGCUUAAUUUGACUCAACACGGGGAAACUCACCAGGUCCAGACACAAUGAGGAUUGACAGAUUGAGAGCUCUUUCUUGAUUUUGUGGGUGGUGGUGCAUGGCCGUUCUUAGUUGGUGGAGUGAUUUGUCUGCUUAAUUGCGAUAACGAACGAGACCUUAACCUGCUAAAUAGCCCGUAUUGCUUUGGCAGUACGCUGGCUUCUUAGAGGGACUAUCGGCUCAAGCCGAUGGAAGUUUGAGGCAAUAACAGGUCUGUGAUGCCCUUAGAUGUUCUGG